rnacentral:rRNA from 1 species
GGAAGAAGGGAGCUUGCUCCCGGAUGUUAGCGGCGGACGGGUGAGUAACACGUGGGUAACCUGCCUGUAAGACUGGGAUAACUCCGGGAAACCGGAGCUAAUACCGGAUAGUUCCUUGAACCGCAUGGUUCAAGGAUGAAAGACGGUUUCGGCUGUCACUUACAGAUGGACCCGCGGCGCAUUAGCUAGUUGGUGAGGUAACGGCUCACCAAGGCGACGAUGCGUAGCCGACCUGAGAGGGUGAUCGGCCACACUGGGACUGAGACACGGCCCAGACUCCUACGGGAGGCAGCAGUAGGGAAUCUUCCGCAAUGGACGAAAGUCUGACGGAGCAACGCCGCGUGAGUGAUGAAGGUUUUCGGAUCGUAAAGCUCUGUUGUUAGGGAAGAACAAGUGCAAGAGUAACUGCUUGCACCUUGACGGUACCUAACCAGAAAGCCACGGCUAACUACGUGCCAGCAGCCGCGGUAAUACGUAGGUGGCAAGCGUUGUCCGGAAUUAUUGGGCGUAAAGGGCUCGCAGGCGGUUUCUUAAGUCUGAUGUGAAAGCCCCCGGCUCAACCGGGGAGGGUCAUUGGAAACUGGGAAACUUGAGUGCAGAAGAGGAGAGUGGAAUUCCACGUGUAGCGGUGAAAUGCGUAGAGAUGUGGAGGAACACCAGUGGCGAAGGCGACUCUCUGGUCUGUAACUGACGCUGAGGAGCGAAAGCGUGGGGAGCGAACAGGAUUAGAUACCCUGGUAGUCCACGCCGUAAACGAUGAGUGCUAAGUGUUAGGGGGGUUUCCCGCCCCUUAGUGCUGCAGCUAACGCAUUAAGCACUCCGCCUGGGGGAGUACGGUCCCCAAGACUGAAAACUCAAAAGGAAUUUGACGGGGGGCCCG